UUUAAGAUCAUGAGUUUGAAGGUGAAAGGAGGAAUAGAAUAUGCACCUGAGUUGUUUGAUGAACAGAAGGAUCAAGUAACAGUUGAGCGAAUAUUGCGGGCUGUAUUUGUGGAUGUGGAACAUCCCAGUCCUGCAUUGGAAAAACUGAAGCUUCAGUUGGCUGAAGCUGAGGCUGCUCUUCAAGUUCGUAAGAAACCUCCACCUGACACUGGGCCUCGUGUUGUUGGGGAAGGUCUUGUAAUUGAUGAAUGGAAAGAGCGGAGAGAAAAAGUACCUGGCUCGACAAAAGGUUGAAGCAAUAGACUAAACAUAUGGUGGGGCUUGUUCUUGCUGUUACUGCUUCUGGCAGAUUAAAAUUUUAAGAUGAAGUAUACUCGGUUCGUGGAUUUCUAGCGAGUGGAGGUGGAGAAUAGGGUGGCUGUCAGGUGCCUCGGGGAGAAAAUGUAUGAUGCCAAAUUGCCAAUGUUUGUUGAACACUUUGGACGUUAGAGUGUAAGAUUUGGGCUUUACCCAGCUUGUAGAUAAUGGAUUUUGUUGUACGAGGAAAAUAAAUCAAUAAGGUCAGCUUUAUUUUGUAUGUUUUAGGAAUGGGGCGCUCGGUAGAAAU
rnacentral:misc_RNA from 1 species